ACGCUCGACACCUACGGGAGGCAGCAGUGGGGAAUAUUGCACAAUGGGGGAAACCCUGAUGCAGCGACGCCGCGUGGAGGAAGAAGGUCUUCGGAUUGUAAACUCCUGUUGUUAGGGGAAAAAGAGGAUGGUACCCAACAAGGAAGUGACGGCUAACUACGUGCCAGAGCCGCGGUAAUCUGAGCGGGCUGGCAAGGC
rnacentral:rRNA from 1 species